AUUGAACGCUGGCGGCAGGCCUAACACAUGCAAGUCGAACGAGUGGCGGACGGGUGAGUAAUGUCUGGGAAACUGCCCGAUGGAGGGGGAUAACUACUGGAAACGGUAGCUAAUACCGCAUACCCUCAGAUGUGCCCAGAUGGGAUUAGCUAGUAGGGUGGGUAACGGCUCACCUAGGCGACGAUCCCUAGCUGGUCUGAGAGGAUGACCAGCCACCUUGUAACUGAGACACUGUCCAGACUCCGACGGGAGGCAGCAGUGGGGAAUGUUGCACAAUGGGCGCAAGCCUGAUGCAGCCAUGCCGCGUGUAUGAAGAAGGCCUUCGGGUUGUAAAGUCCUUUCAGCGGGGAGGCGUUACCCGCAGAAGAAGCACCGGCUAACUCCGUGCCAGCCGCCGCGGUAAUAC
rnacentral:rRNA from 1 species